rnacentral:rRNA from 1 species
AGUGAACGCUGGCGGCGUGCCUGACACAUGCAAGUCGAACGAUGAUGGAGAGCUUGCUCUCCUGAUUAGUGGCGCACGGGUGAGUAUACCAUAGAUAAUGUACCUCUUAGUUCGGGAUAGCCACUGGAAACGGUGAUUAAUACCGGGUACUCCUUCUUGUCAAAAGGCAAGUCGGGAAAGUUUUUUCGCUAAGAGAUCAGUCUAUGUCCUAUCAGUUAGUUGGUGAGGUAAUGGCUCACCAAGACUAUGACGGGUAUCUGGUUUGAGAGGAUGAUCAGACACACUGGAACUGAGACACGGUCCAGACUCCUACGGGAGGCAGCAGUGAGGAAUAUUGCACAAUGGAGGAAACUCUGAUGCAGCAACGCCGCGUGGAGGAUGACGCAUUUCGGUGUGUAAACUCCUUUUAAGAGGGAAGAUUAUGACGGUACCUCUUGAAUAAGCACCGGCUAACUCCGUGCCAGCCGCCGCCGUAA